GACAUAUAGGUUGUAGGGAACUGAAAAGGGACCGACCCUUCGGGGAGCCUAUACAGGUGUUGCAUGGCUGUCGUCAGCUCGUGUCGUGAGAUGUUCGGUUAAGUCCGCUAACGAGCGCAACCCUCGUCGUAUGUUAUAUGUGUCACACGAGACUGCCGGUAAAAAGCCGGAGGAAGGUGAGGAUGAUGUCAGGUCAGCAUGACCUUUAUAUCCAGGGCUACACACACGCUACAAUGGUCUGUACAAUGGGUAGCCAAGCCGCGAGGCGGAGCCAAUCCUGAAAGCAGGCCUCAGUUCAGAUUGCAGUCUGCAACUCGACUGCAUGAAGCCGGAGUUGCUAGUAACCGCAGGUCAGCAAUACUGCGGUGAAUACGUUCCCGGGUCUU
rnacentral:rRNA from 1 species